rnacentral:rRNA from 1 species
AACGAACGCUGGCGGCAUGCCUAACACAUGCAAGUCGAACGAGACCUUCGGGUCUAGUGGCGCACGGGUGCGUAACGCGUGGGAACAUGCCCUUAGGUUCGGAAUAACUCCCCGAAAGGGGUGCUAAUACCGGAUAAUGUCUUCGGACCAAAGAUUUAUCGCCUUUGGAUGGGCCCGCGUUGGAUUAGCUAGUUGGUAGGGUAAAAGCCUACCAAGGCGACGAUCCAUAGCUGGUCUGAGAGGAUGAUCAGCCACACUGGGACUGAGACACGGCCCAGACUCCUACGGGAGGCAGCAGUGGGGAAUAUUGGACAAUGGGCGAAAGCCUGAUCCAGCAAUGCCGCGUGAGUGAUGAAGGCCUUAGGGUUGUAAAGCUCUUUUACCCGGGAUGAUAAUGACAGUACCGGGAGAAUAAGCUCCGGCUAACUCCGUG